rnacentral:lncRNA from 1 species
GAUCAUCCUUGCUUCUUAAUCUUAUUUGUCUGGACAGAAAAAGAAAAAAAAAGAUAUAAGCUACAUCAGCUUAGUAAGUAAAUCUUACACUAUCUUACCCAAAUGAAGCAUAAGUUUAUACAUGCAUCAAUAAAUCAUUUAGAGAAUAUGAUUAUCUUUGAAACAUAAAAUUUUCAUAAUAACAAUAUAUCACAAAUCAAUGAUGUUCUU